rnacentral:rRNA from 1 species
CUUUACCUAGCGGCGGACGGGUGAGUAAUGCUUAGGAAUCUGCCUAUUAGUGGGGGACAACAUUCCGAAAGGGAUGCUAAUACCGCAUACGUCCUACGGGAGAAAGCAGGGGACCUUCGGGCCUUGCGCUAAUAGAUGAGCCUAAGUCGGAUUAGCUAGUUGGUGGGGUAAAGGCCUACCAAGGCGACGAUCUGUAGCGGGUCUGAGAGGAUGAUCCGCCACACUGGAACUGAGACACGGUCCAGACUCCUACGGGAGGCAGCAGUGGGGAAUUUUGGACAAUGGGCGAAAGCCUGAUCCAGCAAUGCCGCGUGAGUGAAGAAGGCCUUCGGGUUGUAAAGCUCUUUUGUCAGGGAAGAAACGGUUUGGGCUAAUAUCCUGAGCUAAUGACGGUACCUGAAGAAUAAGCACCGGCUAACUACGUGCCAGCAGCCGCGGUAAUACGUAGGGUGCAAGCGUUAAUCGGAAUUACUGGGCGUAAAGCGUGCGCAGGCGGUUUUGUAAGUCUGACGUGAAAUCCCCGGGCUCAACCUGGGA